CCGGGAAGCCGAUCCGCUUAACGCGCUUCCACCAGACCUUCGCCGCCUUCUCCAAGCAAUGGGUGGCGAGGUACACCUUAUCUCUCUCCAAAGUGCGUAAGUCUUCGAAGAGGGUUUCCAUCGAGUCGAUCCAAGACUCGACCAUCGCCGGCUCCACCUUCUCGCCCUCAAAGUUUGGCGGGUGGAACUUGUUAAACUUGAUAAGAGCAGCCAAUGCGCGCUCUCCUUCCACAUCUUCGGCCGUCAUAUCGGGUGUAGCCGAUCCCGACACCGCCGGUGGCACGAUCGCCGGCGGGGGACGCGCCGCCACCAGGACCGCCGCUAUACCCUCACCCUCAGCUGGCUCAGGUACGCGAGCCGAGGGCGCGGGCACAUCGCGUACGUCCGUCGC
rnacentral:lncRNA from 1 species